UUGUGGCCACAUCACAUUACAAAACCGGUUCUCAUACACUCACUGAAGUUAAGCAACGUCGAUCUUGGUCAGUACCUAGAUGGGUGACGGCAUGGGAAUACCAAGCGCUA